AGAACGAACGCUGGCGGCAUGCCUAAUACAUGCAAGUCGAACGGACUCUUCGGAGUUAGUGGCGCACGGGUGCGUAACGCGUGGGAAUCUGCCCCUUGGUUCGGAAUAACAGUUGGAAACGACUGCUAAUACCGGAUGAUGACGAAAGUCCAAAGAUUUAUCGCCAAGGGAUGAGCCCGCGUAGGAUUAGCUAGUUGGUGAGGUAAAGGCUCACCAAGGCAACGAUCCUUAGCUGGUCUGAGAGGAUGAUCAGCCACACUGGGACUGGAGAC
rnacentral:rRNA from 1 species